rnacentral:rRNA from 1 species
CUUGUAGGCGGCCUGUUAAGUUCCGUGUGAAAGCCCAUGGCUUAACCAUGGAAGUGCGCGGAAAACUGGCGGGCUUGAGUGCCGGAGAGGGUCGCGGAAUUCCCGGUGUAAAAAGAGGUGAAAUUCGUAGAUAUCGGGAGGAACACCAGUGGCGAAGGCGGCGACCUGGACGGACACUGACGCUGAGACGCGAAAGCGUGGGGAGCAAACAGGAUUAGAUACCCUGGUAGUCCACGCUGUAAACGAUGGGUGCUAGGUGUGGCGGGUUUUGACCCCUGCCGUGCCGCAGCUAACGCAAUAAGCACCCCGCCUGGGAAGUACGGCCGCAAGGCUAAA